GAUGAAGAACGUAGCGAAAUGCGAUAACUAAUGUGAAUUGCAGAAUUCCGUGAAUCAUCGAGUCUUUGAACGCACAUUGCGCCCCCUGGUAUUCCGGGGGGCAUGCCUGUCCGAGCGUCAUUGCUGCCCAUCAAGCACGGCUUGUGUGUUGGGUCCUCGUCCCCCCCGGGGGACGUGCCCGAAAGGCAGCGGCGGCACCGCGUCCGGUCCUCGAGCGUAUGGGGCUUUGUUACCCGCUCUGCAGGCCCGGCCGGCGCUGGCCGACGCGAAAGCAACCAUUUUUUCUCCAGGUUGACCUCGGAUCAGGUAGGGAUACCCGCUGAACUUAAGCAUAUCAAUAAGCGGAGGA
rnacentral:misc_RNA from 1 species